rnacentral:rRNA from 1 species
UACGUAGGGUGCAAGCGUUAAUCGGAAUUACUGGGCGUAAAGCGUGCGCAGGCGGUGCUGUAAGUCAGUUGUGAAAUCCCCGGGCUCAACCUGGGAACUGCAUCUGUGACUGCAUCGCUGGAGUGCGGCAGAGGGGGAUGGAAUUCCGCGUGUAGCAGUGAAAUGCGUAGAUAUGCGGAGGAACACCGAUGGCGAAGGCAAUCCCCUGGGCCUGCACUGACGCUUAUGCACGAAAGCGUGGGGAGCAAACAGG